UAUAUAUAAAUAUUUACAUAUUUAUAGUGAAUUUCCCCAAAUGUUUGACCUGUAACAUGGUACAUUAUUUAUUUAGUUCCACUUGUCAUUUAUUGUUGGUUCCGAUGGGGCGCUAAUUGGGGUCGCACACGCCCAGACUUCCUCUCGUUCGGCAGUUUGGAAAGGGGGGAUGUCAGCGUUAUCUCCAACUGCCCGCGUGUGAUAUACCCUGUUGUCCUAUGUUACAGUUUGGAAGGGGAAUAAAUGCUGUCAGAUCCACUCCACGUC